AGCAGCCGCGGUAAUUCCAGCUCCAAUAGCGUAUAUUAAAGUUGCUGCAGUUAAAAAGCUCGUAGUUGAAUUUCGGGACCAUCAUGUCGGUCGUGCCUCGGUACGUACUGGCAUUGUUGGUUUCUCCCUUCUGACGAACCAUGAUGUCAUUAAUUUGGUGUCAUGGGGAAUCAGGACUGUUACUUUGAAAAAUUAGAGUGUUUAAAGCAGGCUCACGCUUGAAUACAUUAGCAUGGAAUAAUGAAAUAGGACGUUUGAUUCCAUUUUGUUGGUUUCUAGGAUCGACGUAAUGAUUAAUAGGGAUAGUUGGGGGCAUUAGUAUUCAAUUGUCAGAGGUGAAAUUCUUGGAUUUAUUGAAGACUAACUACUGCGAAAGCAUUUGCCAAGGAUGUUUUCAUUAAUCAAGAACGAAAGUUAGGGGAUCGAAGACGAUCAGAUACCGUCGUAGUC
rnacentral:rRNA from 1 species